rnacentral:rRNA from 1 species
ACGCACGCUGGCGGCGUGCUUCACCCCUGCCAGUCGAACGGAAAGGCCCUGCUUUUGUGGGGUGCUCGAGUGGCGAACGGGUGAGUAACACGUGAGUAACCUGCCCUUGACUUUGGGAUAACUUCAGGAAACUGGGGCUAAUACCGGAUAGGAGCUCCUGCUGCGUGGUGGGGGUUGGAAAGUUUCGGCGGUUGGGGAUGGACUCGCGGCUUAUCAGCUUGUUGGUGGGGUAGUGGCUUACCAAGGCUUUGACGGGUAGCCGGCCUGAGAGGGUGACCGGCCACAUUGGGACUGAGAUACGGCCCAGACUCCUACGGGAGGCAGCAGUGGGGAAUAUUGCACAAUGGGCGGAAGCCUGAUGCAGCAACGCCGCGUGCGGGAUGACGGCCUUCGGGUUGUAAACCGCUUUCGCCUGUGACGAAGCGUGAGUGACGGUAAUGGGUAAAGAAGCACCGGCUAACUACGUG